UACGGGGGGGGGCAAGCGUUGUUCGGAAUUACUGGGUGUAAAGGGUUCGUAGGCGGUGUGGCAAGUCGGGAGUGAAAUCUCUGGGCUCAACUCAGAGACUGCUUCCGAAACUGCUGUGCUGGAGUGUGGGGGAGGCGCGUGGAAUUGCAGGUGUAGCGGUGAAAUGCGUAGAUAUCUGCAGGAACACCCGUGGCGAAAGCGGCGCGCUGGACCACUACUGACGCUGAUGCGCGAAGCUAGGGGAGCAAACAGG
rnacentral:rRNA from 1 species